AGCUUCGCGCAGCGGCGAUAUCGCAACCAACCACGUUCUACCGAGGUGCGAUUAUUUUUAGUCGAAAACUUUUGUCAAUAUCCCGCUCUGACGAUUUAGAACAUUAAGAACGUUAGAGUCAUAUAUGCAGGCUGACUGACCAA